rnacentral:lncRNA from 1 species
CUCCUGCCUCAGCCUCCGGAGUAGCUGGGACUACAGGCGCCCGCCACCACGCCUGGCCAAUUUUUUUGUAUUUUUUUAGUAGAGACGGGGUUUCACCGUGUUAGCCAGGAUAGUCUUGAUCUUCUGACCUCGUGAGCCGCCUGUCUCAGCCUCCCAAAGGGCUGGGAUUACAGGCGUGAGCCACCGCGCCCGGCCGAUUUACCACUCUUGAUGUUCACCACCUGGCUGAGUCUGGAAUCAUUUCUUCAUAAUGACAUUUUCUCCUUUUAUUGGAGAAUGUUAGAAACCAAGAUCAAGAGCUUGAUGUGCUUGUUGAUACUGGAGUGUCAUUGAUUCUUGGCCCUGUCAACUGACCAGAUCAAGGAACUACAUGUGUAUAAGCUAAGGCCUGCCUCUCCCACACAAUUUUUUGAUGACCUUCACUUGGAAUGGCCAGAACCAGCUAAUGCAAACCCUGCUGAACCUACAGUAGAAGUUGCUCCUCUCCUCCCCGGCCUCAGUCUCCACCCACUCACAAAAGAAGGCUUUCCAGUCUCCAUUCUAGGACUUAGCCUUAUAACACAUAUUACAAGUAAAGUUCCCACUUGCCUCCAGCAGAAAAGUCACAUCAUGUAUCACAUCUUCUUGCACAUGACAGGAUUUUUGUCGUGACUUUCCUAAAUUCUCACUGUGCCAAGCAAGCAAGAAAGUGCCCACAGGAGUGGGAGGGAAAAGACACAUGGGAUGGCAGCAAGGAAACCUGCCUAGAGGAGCCAGCCAUCCCGUCUGUCCCCUCACUUCCUUCCAGAGAGAACGUCUUUCCUUGACAGCGCCUGCCUCCUGUCAUUUCAUCCCAACACUUUGCCCAGCCCGGGAAAUCUGGAUUUUCUUUUUAAAGAAAGAUGUCUAGAGAGAAAAAUAGAAAAUGAACAGCCAAUAGAAAGUGCAACAGAGCUUGUUGAUUUGGUUCUGUCAGAUGCCCCAAGUGUUCGUGAAGCAGCUAUACUAAGUGACAUUCAAACGUUGGUAAUGAGGAGACAUCUGCAUAUACACUGGUUUUGAAACAUCAAGCACUGGAGAAGUUAUGAGCUGUCAAUCACUUUAGCUGUCCUCCACCCUGUGUUUAUUCAGAAAUAAUUUUCAAGGCUGCAGAAAGUGUUGUUACUAACUGAUGAGCAAGUUUGAACACUGAAAAUGAAGAAUGAUUGAUGUUCUUUUAGGUAAGCUGGAAAACUCUCCAUCCACUAGAGGCAGCCACAGCUCGGGAUGCUGAUAAAGUUCUGACACAGGGAGUGAGUGAUGAGUGGUGUGUAAAAGUUCUGACACAGGGAGUGAGUGAUGAGUGGUGUGUAACGUGCUGAAAACAGGAAGCUCUGACAACAAUGUGAAGAGGAACCUUCUGAACACAAAUUCUAUGGCUCCAAAUAAGCAAGUUAAUAGUCCUGAUAUCUUGACUUGAUCUACAGAAGAAACCCCACUCAGGAUAACUUUUACUUUUCUGGUGGAAGAGACAAUAAGAAUAAAGACUCACUAAACGGUAAUAAAAUCCUCUUUGACUUACUAAUUGGUUGGUAAUUUUGAAAUUUUCUAAUCUGAAUGUUUAACUCCAAAUAGUUUUCAUCCUGUCAUAUGUUACAGUAUUAACAGUUAUAGAAAAAGAACAGGAAUUAUUAGAAACAUUAAAACUAUUCAAAUCUAGGAAAUGUGGAUCUUAGGAUUUGUGUCAGGAAACCAACAACCUUAGGAUGUGCCCCACAGUUGGCUUUCCUGAACCGUGAUCCCAGAAUGCAAGAAGUCAACCCAAUACAAAUCCAUGCUUUCUGACAAUGGCAGAAAAUUUUUUGGCCAUUGUCCAUUGACUGACUCACAAGCUGUGACAAUGUCCCACCAUUACACUCCACCGACUCCCCCGCAAGGCUGUCACCUGUCUUUACCUGCAGCAGCUGCAUAUAUGCACACAUUUAAUAACACUUAGUGGGGGCAUGUUCUGUUCUAGAAACGGUGCCUGCUCCAAAGAUACGGUGGUGAACAAAAUAAAAAUGCUCCCUGUCUCUAUGGAACUCAGAGUCUAGCAGAAGACAAAGACACAAUGUGAAAUACACAUUUCAAUAAGUGCUAUGAAAGAUAGGUUGUACAGUGAUAUGAAAGGGAAUAACAAAGGGAUGCAAAAGAGUUAUGAAAGGCCUCUCUGAGGAAGUCAUGUUUAAGCUGAAAGGUGAAGGUUGCCUAUAAGAAGGUCAGGCAAAAGACAGGGUGUGUGAGUGGGGAAACAUUCUAGGCAGAGGUAACAGCAUAUGCAAGACCCCAUGGAAGAUUAGAAAAAGGAAACAGCACCAAGAUAUGACCUAUUUUCCUUAGAUGACUGAGGGAAUUCAAAUUCAAUGAAUACCUUCUUUAUCUUAAAAGCUAAAGCCUUUACAUUUAUUAUAAAUAGGGAUUUCUAUAAAUCCUGUCAACUCCCACUUAUCCUGUAUUCUCAAUCCUGUAUUUAUUCACCAACAUCUUUGAGCUGUUUUCUCUGGCCUUAUCCUUAUUCUUUCUAAGGUAUAUCUAUCUUUUUUAGCAACCCCGAUAAUUAGAUAGGAUAAUCUGUUGAGAUAUUAAUUUGUGAUUUGUAUUUCUGAUUUGUGCUAUAGAAGACUUGAAGGAUUAGAAGGGACUUUCCUCCUACUUCCUUCACUGGAAAGACAACCAGGCCUUUAUCUUCUAAGAUCUUUUUUCUAUUUUCAAGCAAUUAACAGUUUAUUUUUGUAUCAGAACAUCCUGUCCCAUCCCUCAAGAUCUGUUGCGCAAAAUGUAGGCCCAUCGGGAGGAAGAAAGUUGAGGAGAGGGGUGAUUUGCCUUGCUGGCAACUUAUUGACAUGUCUUUGCCAUGCUCCUACUCAGGAAAUUAGAUCCCAUGACCUAUAAAAUUCAGUCAAAACUGCAGCUAAACUCACACCCUCUGCUAUAUUGGACCUGAAGUCUCUGCAGCCAUUCUCCUCUAUUGCCACAUUCAUCCCCCGUACCAAGUCGUACCCCAUCAAUUCUGCCUGUCCCAUAAUUCAUCUCAAGCUUAUUUUCUUCUAUGCUGUUUCCCUUUCCCACUUUUUAAUUUCACCCUUAUUUUAAUCUCUCAUUUUCCUGUUGUUUCAUAGUGAAACCACUUUGCAAAAUUAUAACUGAGGAAACUAUGACAGUGAAAGACAUCAGACCUAACUGAUUCCAUCUUGCUUCUAACGUUUAAGCUGUCCUUGUUCUUUCCUGGGCAUAGGCCAAACUAACUUUGGGAAGGAAUUCAGUUCAUGGUUUGACUCUGAAACAAAUUGGAACCAGCCCUUUCCUGAAAAACCCCGUUUCUUCCUUGGAGACCAGUCUGCCUUUGCAGGACUAACAACUUAGCUACAACAUUAGAAAUCACAGUUUAGGGGUCAUGCAGUCUCUGGUUCCAAGAGUUUGAACCUCCCGAAAUUGCUCCUGGGGAUAAUAUCGGUAUUGUGAAACCUAAGAUCAGUGCUUAAGACCCUGCACUGGAUGGAUCAGCUGACACCACCCAGAGUGGUAAUCUGGCUCAACCAGUUCUGCCAUCCCUCCCAAGAACAGAAAACAGCAAAAAACAAACAAACAAACAAACAAACAAAAAAAACUCACUUCGACUCCCACUGCCCCCCAUGAUUCCAUCUCCAACCUGACCAAUCAGCACUCCCCACUUCCCAAGCCCCUACCUGCCAAAUUAUCUUUAAAAACACUUAUCAUCAAAUGGCUCAGGGAGAAUGAUUUGAGUAAUAAUAAAACUCUGGUCUCCCGCACAGCUGGCUCUUCCUGAUUUACUCUUUCUCCAUUGCAAUUCCCCUGUCUUGAUAAAUCGGCUCUGUCUAGGCUGCGGGCAAGGUGAACCCAUUGG